rnacentral:tRNA from 2 species
GCACCCUUAGCCCAGCUGGAUAGAGCAUCGGAUUUCUAAUCCGCAGGUCGCAGGUUCGAAUCCUGCAGGGUGCGCCA